rnacentral:misc_RNA from 1 species
UUAACUAUUAUAUAGUACUCAGACGAUAUUAACAAACAGAGUUUUAGGUUCUUCGACAGUCACUGACCAGCCGGAGCCGGUGGGCCGAAGCCGGGACUGCCAAAGCAACAAAGGUAUAUAAACAAUGGGUGGGAGGUAUACCCCGAAGGGCAACGUCUCUUUAAUGAUCCUUCCGCAGGUUCACCUACGGAAA